UAGAACGAGGCUGUCCACUCUAGCUCUUUGAAGCCGUAGAAGGGUUGCUUUGGAGGUGUUAGUUUUAAAAGUCUUUCUCUUUUAAGCUGUAUCCCAUCAGCUUUAAUUAUAGCAAUGACUCAAGUACUAUCAGUAGGAGUCCAGAACUGUGGCCGACUCUGGAGAUCCCAAAAUGAACAAAUCAAGGUUCCGGCUCCCAAGGCCUUCUUAACUGGGUGUGCGGACUUGAAGCGUAUUGGUGAGACUGUCGGUGGGGACCAUGCCCCCCCCCAUUAUAUGGACUCUGAGACUGGCUCCACAUCCAACAUAUGGAUCUCUUACAGGAUGCCACAGUACAGUUGAUGGUCAUGUGUCCUCUCGGCUGUGACAGCUACUCGGACUUUCCCUAUUUUUGAUGACCUUCACAGUUUUGAGGACUACUGGUCAGGUCAGUUUUGGCUAAGGAAUGAAGACAAUGGCCACUGCAUUCCAAGAUACCACUGGGACAGUAAUUCUCAGUUGACCACGGAAAACCUGAAGAGAGGAGUCACUGACAUGGGAGGU